rnacentral:rRNA from 1 species
UACAGAGGGUGCGAGCGUUAAUCGGAAUUACUGGGCGUAAAGCGCGCGUAGGCGGUUUUGUAAGUCGGGUGUGAAAUCCCUAGGCUCAACCUGGGAACUGCAUUCGAGACUGCAUGACUGGAGUAUGGGAGAGGACAGCGGAAUUUCCGGUGUAGCGGUGAAAUGCGUAGAUAUCGGAAGGAACAUCAGUGGCGAAAGCGGCUGUCUGGCCCAAUACUGACGCUCAUGUGCGAAAGCGUGGGGAGCAAACAGG